rnacentral:tRNA from 1 species
UCCGAUAUGGUCUAGUGGCUAGGAUUUGCCGCUCUCAUCGAGAGUCAAAACACUCAUUCAGUGCCGGCAAGGCCCGGGUUCGAUUCCCGGUGUCGGAA